GGACGCGCGGCCGGGGAAGGAGGCCGGGCCGAGGAGGCGGGAGGAGGGGGCCUGCCUCCGCCGCCGCGGCGCCGACCCCGCCUCCCGGUUGGCAAGGCCCCCAGUGGCCAAGGCAUGAGCCUGGAUGCCCUGCAAAUUGAGUACGUGUUAGGGAUGGGGGCCAUUCUUUAUAGUUUGACUCUGGAGAGCUAGGACCACCUUUCCCAGCCUCAGGGGUGCACAUCCUCAGGAGCUGCCUACCUCCAGAUAUUGUAAGUCCAUGCAGAAGAGGAAGGGCCCAGCUGGGGCACCUCUUGGUUGAGGAAUGAGUAUGUGACAUUUUCAUGUGGGCACAUUUUGAUACUACUUUAAAAAUAGACCAAGCACAGUGGCUCACACCUGUAAUUCCAGCACUUCGGGACGCUGAGAGAGGUGGAUCACCUGAGGUCAGGAGUUCGAGAUCAGCCUGGCCAACAUGGAGAAACCCCGCCUCUACUAAAAAUACAAAACAUUAGCUGGGUGUGGUGGCACACACCUGUAAUUCCAGCUACUCGGGAGGCAGAAGCAGGAGAAUCGCUUGAAUCCAGGAGGCGGAGGUUGCAGUAAGCCGAGAUCACGCCACUACACUCCAGCUUACACUGGACAUGAUGAGGAGGAGGAGGAUGAUGGUGGUGAUUAUGAUAGAAAUGGUGAUGGUGAUGAUGACAAUGGUGAUAGUAGGGAUGGUCUUGCUCUGUCGCAAUCAAUAAAUGAAUGCAUAAACACAUUUCUACUUGUUUUUGCAGUCCUAAGAUAAGUGCUCAGUAGCAUCCCUGCCCUUCUAAUGUGAACUUGAG
rnacentral:lncRNA from 1 species